AGUCGGGGACGACCACAACAAAAAAGAAUGAGCCGGCGGCGCCAGGAAAAGCGCGGCCGGCAAAC
rfam:Yersinia pestis CO92 complete genome